rnacentral:rRNA from 1 species
ACGCUCGACACCUACGGGAGGCAGCAGUCGGGAAUAUUGCGCAAUGGAGGAAACUCUGACGCAGUGACGCCGCGUGCAGGAAGAAGGUUUUCGGAUUGUAAACUGCUUUAGACAGGGAAGAACAAAUGACAGUACCUGUAGAAUAAGCUCCGGCUAACUACGUGCCAGCAGCCGGGUAAUCUGAGCGGGCUGGCAAGGC